rnacentral:rRNA from 1 species
UAGGGAAUCUUCCACAAUGGACGCAAGUCUGAUGGAGCAACGCCGCGUGAGUGAAGAAGGCUUUCGGGUCGUAAAACUCUGUUAUUGAAGAAGAACGUGUGUGACAGUAACUGGUCAUGCAGUGACGGUAUUCAAUCAGAAAGUCACGGCUAACUACGUGCCAGCAGCCGCGGUAAUACGUAGGUGGCAAGCGUUGUCCGGAUUUAUUGGGCGUAAAGCGAGUGCAGGCGGUCUUUUAAGUCUGAUGUGAAAGCC